rnacentral:rRNA from 1 species
UACGUAGGGUGCGAGCGUUAAUCGGAAUUACUGGGCGUAAAGGGCUCGUAGGCGGCCAACUAAGUCGGACGUGAAAUCCCCAGGCUCAACCUGGGAACUGCGUCCGAUACUGGAUGGCUUGAAUUCGGGAGAGGGAUGCAGAAUUCCAGGUGUAGCGGUGAAAUGCGUAGAUAUCUGGAGGAAUACCGGUGGCGAAGGCGGCAUCCUGGACCGACAUUGACGCUGAGGAGCGAAAGCUAGGGGAGCAAACGGG